CCUGCUCCCACGCCGGCUCCAAGGGCUCCGCUCUCUCUCCUUGACUCCACGGGCCGGGAAGCACCAGAUGCUGCAGGAUUGCUUGGAAGUUUUUCUCUCACUUUCUCCCCCUCCCAAGUCACUCCUUAAAUCCUCCAGAAUUGAAGCACCUGCUGCCAGCCCAAGAGGAAGCCGCCCAGCCUGCUCCCUCCCAGCCAUGCCCGUGCCAGUCCUUCCAGAGCUCUUCCUCGGGCUCCCUUCCUCGCCUGCCUCUCCAUGGUGUGGUGAGGCACAUCACCAUUCAGGCCUGCAGACCCAAAUGCUUUGUGCACGGAUUUACAGAGAGAAGACUUCCUUUGUCUUCGAUGAGGACAGCAGACCAUUAGGAGCAGGACCUGGAAAACUGCACUUCAGUGAAAUCCCCAUACUUCCACCUGUGGCACACAGAGAUUACAGAUGUGUCUCCUGGAGAAACUGA
rnacentral:lncRNA from 1 species